rnacentral:rRNA from 1 species
AUGAUUACCUGCUUCUCUGACCUGAUCAAAGAUCAUUCCCUAGAUUUCUUGUGUCUCCAAGAGACCAUGAAAAGAAAAUUCUCCCCCAGUUUCUUUAGGAAAGUUGAUCCCUACAGUACCUUUGACUGGAACUGGAUCCCCUCUAUUGGCAAGGCUGGAGGCUUACUUUGUGGGAUCAAGAAAGAGAAGUUGGAGAUUGUCUCUUGGUCCCUAGGUAAAUAUAUCCUCCAGGUCAUUGUGUUUGAUGUGGAUAAAAUAUGUGUUUGGGCCCUCCUAAAUGUUUAUGGCGUGGCUCAUGAUGAGCAGAAGGAAGAAUUUCUUGCGGAGUUGGCUAAUUUCUAUAGCCAUCUAGCCAUUCCUUACAUUGUGGGUGGUGAUUUCAAUGUCUUAAGACAUUAUGGAGAGAAAAACAAAAAAAUGAUGACCUCCCAGUAUGUUGACAUAUUUAAUGCCAUUAUUAAUACUAUGUGCCUCCGAGAAAUUUUUGUGGAAGGGGGUAUGUUCACUUGGUCCAAUAAUCAAGCUCAUCCCACUUUGGAAAAGUUGGACAGGAUCCUUAUGAGCUAUGACUGGGAAGAUUUAUUCCCCUUAGUUACUGCCAGGAAACUGGUUAGAGAUGUCUCAGACCAUAAUCCCCUCCUCAUGUCCACUAAUAGCAGUAAAACCCAACCCAUUAAACCUAGAGAGUUUAGGUUCGAGAUGAGCUAGAUGGCAAAUGAGGAGUUCCUCCCUCUAGUUAAUAAAAUUUGGCAGAGACCA